UCUGCCGANCUCUNCCUAAACGGCGAUGGGCUGAACAAGUGUGCAUGUGGCGAUUAGGGUUUUAAUAAACUUGCAGCCAGCUAACCCAGCUGUUAAAAACUAUGACAAACUCAGGCUAAGAACACCUCAGAGACAGUUCAGGAAUAAAACGUACUUUGAAGGAACGUUUACANCCCUUCAAGUGUGCACAUUAUUGU
rfam:Neotoma lepida isolate 417 scaffold_3528, whole genome shotgun sequence.